AAAUUAGUUGCAUAUGUUCAAAGGUAACUUUCUCUAAAAUAAAAUUGAUUGACAAUCUGAAAUAUAAUAUAAUUUGAAAGAUUAAUUUUAUCUGACAGGAAUCUCUAUUAUAAAGAAUCUUGUAUUCACCGAGAUUUGCUUUGUCAUCUUUAACAUUUCAGGCAGUAGCAACAGAAGGACAGGAAGCAAGUGUAAUCACUGACUAUAUUUGAAGGUAAUAUUACAGAAACUAAAGUAUAUUGAAAGCUAUUCAAGAAGCACUAAUAUAAGAAUUUCUUCACUUAUUGAAAUCCUUUGGACAUAAAUUUUGCAGAUUUUAGGACUGGAUGUAUGUGCAGACACUAUGGUAGGAAAUGAAAUGUUGAGGGGUAAUCUCUGGAGGACAAAGGAAGCGUGUCACAACAGG
rnacentral:lncRNA from 1 species